rnacentral:lncRNA from 1 species
UGUCUGCUCAUGAAGCCGGGCCAGAGAUGGCUGUGCUCAACACCACCCACCCUCAGGAGAAGACUUACUCUGCCUUUUUGACACCACUUUUCUCCUGCUGCCUGGCUCACCCACCCACCCUCUUUGUUUCUCUAGCCCAACGGUCCCACUCCUGCAUGCCCAUAUUCCCAUCAUUGUGAUGCACUUGUCACCUGAUGUUAUUGGACACCGCUCCCUCUUCUUUCAGGUCCAUAUCCCGGCUGCUGCUGGAGCACAACACCAGCUUGCCAACUCAGAGUACUUUAGCUCUGUGGAAAAUGAGCAUCAAGGAAGAGCUGUGAACAUCUCUUUCUGCAUAAAAUCACAUCAAGGAGUCAGUACAAAAUGGAGAAACUCAGCCAUAUUAAAUGGAGCUUCCUUUAAGAUUAAUUUUGAAGUGGAAAUAUACUGCUCUACUCGAUUUCAGAGAGCAUUUACGUUUGCACAGUAGGAUCAUUUCAUCAUCAGCAAACUGACAUAUCCUAGAAGAUUGUUGCUUACUCAGACCUCCAGUCCUGAUUUCACCAUAUCAACAGGAAAAAUCACAUUAAAUUUAAUGACACCAAGACGAACGCUUUCAGUUCCUCUCAACCUUCUGGCAGGAAGGCAUACAGGAUGCCUAUACCCAUAUGCACAUAGCCCAGGAAAAGUCAAUAUGGAAUUCUGACUCAAUCAAUUAACAGUACAUACUCAUGCCUAUUGAGGGGAAUAGGAAUCUCACACCGAUACAGCCACCAUCACUAUGCUAUUAAUUACGUGUAUAUAAACAUAACUGGAUGUUCAGAUACCAAGAUAUUGUGAAUGCAAUUACUCUAUGUUUUCAGCCUUUUCAGCCAAAGGAGUACCAGAAUGUCUUGACGAUCAGUUUUUGUAUUUUGUUUUGUUAUUAAGACAGCAUAUCUAAGCAUCAGACAUUGGAUAAAAUCUCAGCUCACAUUUAAGAGAAACAUAAAUUUCUAAACAAAUUUUAAAUGGGCCAAGAGUGUUCUAAACAAAAUGAAAUAAAAUCUUCAAC